UACGGAGGAUCCGAGCGUUAUCCGGAUUUAUUGGGUUUAAAGGGUGCGUAGGCGGCUCUAUAAGUCAGUGGUGAAAGGUACCCGCUUAACGGGGACACUGCCAUUGAUACUGUGGAGCUGGAGUACAGAUGAAGUGGGCGGAAUGUGUCAAGUAGCGGUGAAAUGCAUAGAUAUGACACAGAACACCAAUUGCGAAGGCAGCUCACUAAAGUGUCACUGACGCUGAGGCACGAAAGCGUGGGGAUCGAACAGG
rnacentral:rRNA from 1 species